UCUGUGCCAAACCUCCCAUGCUAAAAAACCGCCAGACGCGCCGGCUUAAAGCUUCACUUCGGGCAACCAGCAUCAGCAAGUCACCAAGCAACCUCCAGGCAUUAGUGUGCACCACGGAAAUUGCUCUUUUAGUAGCAUCCAGUCACCUCUUCGUUCUGGGUCAUUUAAAGUUGUGUCCAAGCUGCAGUGCGGCGCGCUGGUCGUGCGCCACCGUCAGAGUCUGAAUGUCAGUGGUCGUACUUGCGGAACAUGCUGCACGGAUGAUCCGGGCUGGGUGAAGAUCCAUCCUGUCGGUGGAAAAGCAGUCAACCAGGCAACCAACCGGUUAGGGAAAGGAGGGGGGAGAGAUGUCCCCGUUAUUCAUGGACACAGGCUACGAGCCCAACAGCCCUGGGUCCCUGUCAGCUGAGGAGUCCAACAGCAACACGGCUGGAUCGGAGAGAGAAGGAGAUGGACCACAGACGGAACACACAGGGACAAAAAGACGAGAGAGGAACAGGGACGCGGCCAGGAGGACCCGCCGAAAACAAACAGAGAGGGCAGAUGAACUUCAUGAGGAGCUUCAGCGUCUCGAGCAGUCAAACUCGGCCCUUCAGAAGGAGAUCACUGUAUUGAAAAAAGAGUUACAGCGCUACACGACAACUCUGUCGCGUCAUGAACCUUAUUGCUGCCUCAGAGCCUCUGGGUCCAGCUCCAGCUCAGCAACCCGCCUUUCAGUUUCCCACCCAACUGAGGGUCAGACCACCUCAAGCCCUCCUAGAGUCGCUCCCCAGGCCUCAAGCUCCACUUUGGCUGCUGCCCCUUCAAUCUCUACCUCCUUAACCUCCAGCUUGGGUCUGAAAACCCUUGACUGUGUUGAAAAUACUCAUCUUCCAGCUUCAGCUCCAACAGCUACAUUAGCCUCGUCUUCUGGCUCCUCUGCUGAACUCAUCAGUGCCUCCUCCUCCAGCCCCGUGACUGUUCCUUGUUCAGUAUUGUUUUCUACUCAUGCAGCUCCUCACUCUUUGUUCAGUGAAUCACGCUACAAUCCAAUCACGUCAAGGCCGACAAAUGUUAUGCCCAUCUGCACCAGUCCCAUUUCAACCCCUGUUCCCUCCAGCGGCGUCACCACAGUCGCUCAGCCUCAGUCUGGGCAAGACAACAUCCAUGAAACCUCUCCUGUGUCAGCAAAUGCAUCUUUCUCUGCUCUCCACUCUGGAACAGUGGACGUGUUCUUAAUGAGACAAACCUCUUUUGCAUCUGUUUCAUCUAAUGUGGUCCCCCCAUACUCCCAUUUAACAGGAGAAAAUGAAGGUCUAGUAGCACAAGGUUGUCCCAUGAGGGUGCCCCAGCUUCAUGCCGAUCACUACAGUGGAAGAUCAAGUCUCAUGUGUACUAUUUUACCAUCAGCUCUUCAAGAUCCUGCUCCUCAGAACCUUAGAGAUUCACCUCAGACAAACUUGGAGCCGUCUCCUGCCCCUACCUUUGCUCUAAAACCAAGUUACGGACAUCGAGUUACACCCAAACCAUCAUCUCUGCUCUCCCUCCUCACCGUCCCGAGUCCUCUCAAUACCUCUCAGACUACCUCCACCAGCUCUGAUGGACUUAUUGGUCAACAUCCACCCUCACUGCCACUGUUGGGUGAUCCCUCAAGUGACCUUUCCCUUUCUGAGCUCCUGGAGGGCAACGAUUGGAUCCUAAGUGGGACUAGCAAUCAGUAGCACUACAUGCCACAUAUAAGACAAGCGUCCCUUUGUCAAAAUGGACAUUUAAUUUAUAUCUUUUGAGCUGUUUAAUUAAUGAUUUAGGUCUCAGUGCUCUUCCAAAAAGAACUGCUGUUUAGCUCAUUGGGAGUGAGAAUAUGAAGCAGACUAACUACGUUUUGCACACAGAUUUUCACAUCGGGUAUCCAGUGGGCGCUCACUCAUGGAAAGCUGGCAUCGAAAAAUGAAUCAAGGGCCAAAUAAGUGCCUGGACUGUUGCUCAUACUCAGCUUCGUUCAUCUUCUUAAAGGGAAACUCCAGGGAUUUAGUGUUGCACUUCCAUAGGUUUAAGAGACAGAAGAAUGGCCAAACCCGAAGCAACAGAGACCAAGAUAUCCUGACGUUUAGCUCCUACUAUAGGUUAAACGCCGGAUCCUACAUUUCCCAUCAUGCAACCAGUAGAAUGUUUUGCUGGACUCUCACUUUAUUUUUUAGAUUUGAAUCCUCGAAGCUCAGGCUGAGAAAAUUCUGAAGACAUCGCUGUCACAUCAUCAGGGUAAUUUUCUCAGACUCGUCCAAGCUGAGCUCACCACAGAAGACCUUAUACAGCUGUUUCCACAAGCUGAGUAAUACUCCCCAAGAUGAAUAAAUGGACAUUCAUGUCUGAAGUCAGUGGAGUUUCUCUUUCACAACAGCAAAGAACGCCAACAGUUCUGUAAAGCCUGGCUUUCCUGCAGCUGCUAAAAACUCUUUCACAAGAAAGAGGAAACUUUUUCACAAUUUUGAAUAAGCCAAAAUCAAAGGUAUGCAUCGUCCUUUCCUGAACAUGCGACUCAGCCUUAGAUACAUUAACUUCUAUUUUGAAAAAGGGUGGAGCGAUCACUUCCCCACGACUUCAUGGAAAUGCCAUUUGGAGAAAGUUCCACCUUUCCCUGGAGCUGCAGUCUGAGCACAAGGCAGUGUCAAAGCUGGCCACAUCCUGUUUACUGGAUGCAUGUUACGGUCGUCACGAUUUAACAUUCAGCCAUGACUUCACAAGACAAGACCCUGAUUUAAGUCCAGCCCAAAUGUAAGUAAAAGAUUGCAUAUUUUUUGGAAGAGCUUGUAAUAAUGUUCUAAAACAUAAGCUUUACCAGUCUGUUUUACAAACAGAGCUGUUUUCGCAUGCAGUGCACUGAUGGGAGGCCCUCACUCGUCUGCGGGAGGAACAGUACAGUAAACAGCAGCGUGAGGUGAGGAGGUUGUCAGGGACGGCUUCAUUAUGCUUGAUGAUGACGAAGAGGAGUGAGACACAGAUGUGGUGACCCACUGAAAUCCUCAUCCCUGAGAGUCUGUUGUAUAAUUGAUCAAAUGAGAGAGAGAAGUGAACUUUUCCUUGUGACCCCUCCCUGUAACCUGACACUGAGAGGCCAAUAGGCUGCUGAAAUCUGUUAAAGGAACUACUGCUAUGAGGAAACAGACUGUAAUUUCUUACUAUUUGUAGCUGCUUAUGCAUUGUAAUUGUAUCACAAUGACGAUUUUGGUUUUUCAGAUGAUGAUUCAUGUAAUUAUUCUGCUUUAUAUACUGUAUAUCUAAAGUUUAGGAUUUAUCUUGUCUUUAUCGUGCAUUAGAUUAAUAUAUUUAAGAUAUAAUAAUGAUUGCAAUAAAAAAUUCA